GGCCAAUUCACAAUAACUUACAGCUGCGACUCUUCUGACACCCACUCCACAAACUUCAGGUCUUUCUCAAGGCUACAUGACUGUAGAACCCAGUUGCUGUGAUGUGGGGAAGCCUGGACCAGCCCAUCUGGAGAGACUGUGUGGACAGGCACAGUGGAAAGGAAAUGAGUCCCUUAGAUGACAGCCAGUGUCAAUCACCAGAUUUGAAGAAGAUGGCAUCGUCCUUAGAUAAGUGCAUGGUUAUGGAUAUUGGUGAUUGGAGGGAAGAAGGAAGCAGUGAUGAUCACCCAUGAU